UGUCUGGAAAUGCGGUGUGUGAGACACU
rnacentral:misc_RNA from 1 species